UAUAUAAAAAGAUCAGCAACUCUUGAGAAGUUUCAAAAGCUUUCUUCGGCUUGGUGCUCUCCGUGAUCCAGUCUGCCUCUCCUAACUGAAACUCAGGGCUUUGAACAGAUUUGCACCAAAGACCGGAAGAGCAAGAAGCAGCGUCAGAGACUGACUUCGAUCCUGCCAAGAUGAUUUCCUACAGACUCCGGCCUUCUUCCAACCCUCGCCGCUAUGGCUGUGGCUACGUCAGGGGUGCGCACUGCUGCCGUCCAAAUGGGUACCGUUAUGGUUCCUACCAUCCAUAUCCUUCUCCCGCUUGCCUGUACGCCGGAUAUCGCUCUGGCUAUAACCUUUCUCGCCAUGGCUGCGGCUCCCCCUGCUAUGGCUCCAGCGGCUUCAACUGCCGUUAUCCCAUUGGAAGUAAGAGUUCUAGCACUCGCAGCCGUCGCCCACAGUAACCUAGAUUUAAAAAAAGCUUCGUUGGAACAGAGACCGAGAUAUGACGGAAUAAGGAUGGACAAACGAUCUGCAAAUGGUGGACAAGGCUUUCAAAGAGACCAAGCUUCCAAGAUUUACCACUUAAGUUGAUUAUUUGAGGUAGGUCUCAGAACUACUGAAACUGAGAUGUGAUGUAAGAGACUAAUGGAGUAUCACCAAAACAAUAAUGUGGGAAUGAGAUGUUUGACCCUCUUGGCCGUUUGCCCAAACUUUCUCAGGCAUGGGGUAAUGAUGAUGAGGGCUACCACCCAUAUUCUUAACUCCCAUCUUAAGCUGAAUUAAAAUAAAAAACAGAAAGAAAAUGGCUGUCAGGGAACAUUCCUUGUCUCUUUACAUCACACUGAGUUUGGUCUUUGUACAAUUCACACAAUUGACCUAGGACCAUUUUCUACGAGUCCUUCAAGGACAUCCAAAGGUUCCUUUUAAAGCACACAAAAAAAGUUAAUUGUUUAUUUCACUCACUUUUAGACAAAUAAACAAAACAGUUGGAGAAAACAAAAAAGAGUUUGCUGAUAGUUUUCCAACUGCAGUUUGAGAAACCCUGGUGGGUUUUUUUGGGGAACCUUACCAAGACGUUUAAUAGUAUACCAGGUGUUUGAUAUCAAGAGUUUGUGCAUUCGUGACUUCUCCACUUCCCAUCUGCUCAGUUAACGUGUAGAUGGAUCAUCUGGAACCGACAAGUAAUAGCUAAGAAUAGUACCUCUAUGUUCAGAGGCAGUGCCUCUGAUUAUUAGAUGCAGAGAGCAAAGCGGCAGGGUGUGAAUCAUCUCCACACCUUUCUUGUGAGCCUCUCUGUGGAAAAUGGCUGCCUACUGUUGGAAGCAGAGUGCUGGAUGAGAAGAAAAACCUUCUAUCUGAUCGAGCAUGGCAAAUCAUUUUGUAAAUGAUCCUUACCAUUUAUUUCUGCUUUGAAACUUAAACCUUGGCUCAUUCCACACAUGCAGAAUAAUGCACUUUCAAACUGCUUUCAGUGCUCUUUGAAGCUGUGCGGAAUAGCAAAAUCCACUUGCAAACAGUUGUGAAAGUGGUUUGAAAAUGCAUUAUUUUGCAUGUGCGGAAGGGGCCUUAGAAACGUAAGAAGAGUUUGUGUUUAUAUUUUCUGAACGAAGCUAAUAAGAGUCCAGGUUUGAUUCACAGAAGCUUAUGCCCCGAAAAUCUUGUUCAGAUCUAAGGAAGAGUUAAUUCCAGCUGUUCUCCUGCAGUUCAACAGGGCUGUCCGCUGAAACGAGUCAACGUUAAGUAAAGAUGAAGAGUCUGGAUUUAUAUCCUGCUUUUCUCAACCAUAAGAAGUCUCAAAGCAGCUAAAAAACUCCUUCCCUUCCUCUCCCCACAACAUACAGCUUGUGAGGUAAGUGGGACUGAGUUUCCAGAGAACUGUGACUAGCUCAAGGUCACCCAACAGGCUUCAUGUGGAGGAGUGAGAAAUCAAACCCAGUUCACCAGAUUAGAGUACACCGUUCCAAACCUCUACAUCACUUUGACUCUUAAAAUUUCACUCCUCUUACUUCUUUCUAUUAGAGCACAUUCUGCAUUAAAAUACUGAACUAGUGGGGUCUUGUUUUAAAAUAUAUAUAUUUAAAAAAAAUAUGACUAUUGCACAGGAAAUGAAAUGGUCGACAACAGACAGAGGAUAUCCAUGCAAGGAACAUGUAUACACCCCUCCCAAUUAUAAUUUAAAAUACAUAUGAAAGCCACUAAUUAAAACUAUUGUUUCGCAUUCAUUUAACAUGUGUUCAUACUUCUACUGUGCUUUAUCUCUGGUUGGUUUCUAGAUUUCUACAAGUCAAAUCAUAUUGCAUUGUCCAUUGUAUGUUCCGCCCUGUUGAUUAUGUUGUAUUAUUCUCUGCAAUAUACUUUUGAGUAUCAGAGAGAAAGGCAGACUAUAAAUAAUGUGAAUAAAUACAUAGAUAGAUAAUAAAUUAAAAA